ACGGGAGGCAGCAGUGGGGAAUAUUGCACAAUGGGGGAAACCCUGAUGCAGCGACGCCGCGUGAGCGAAGAAGUAUUUCGGUAUGUAAAGCUCUAUCAGCAGGGAAGAAAAUGACGGUACCUGACUAAGAAGCCCCGGCUAACUACGUGCCAGCAGCCGCGGUAAUACGCAGGGGGCAAGCGUUAUCCGGAUUUACUGGGUGUAAAGGGAGCGUAGACGGCAAGGUAAGUUUGAAGUGAAAUGCCGGGGCUCAACCCCGGAACUGCUUUGGAAACUGUCAAGCUAGAGUGCAGGAGAGGUAAGCGGAAUUCCUAGUGUAGCGGUGAAAUGCGUAGAUAUUAGGAGGAACACCAGUGGCGAAGGCGGCUUACUGGACUGUAACUGACGUUGAGGCUCGAAAGCGUGGGGAGCAAACAGGAUUAGAUACCCUGGUA
rnacentral:rRNA from 1 species